GCUGGGCGUGGUGGCGCACACCUGUAAUCCCAGCUGCUGGGGAGGCUGAGGCAGAAGAAUCGCUUGAACCCAGGAGAAUCUGCAGUGAGCCGAGAUUGCACCACUGCACUCCAGCCUGGGCAACAUAGCAAGACUCUGUCUCAA
rnacentral:SRP_RNA from 1 species